rnacentral:rRNA from 1 species
GUAGUCUGCAACCCGACUACAUGAAGCUGGAAUCGCUAGUAAUCGCGGAUCAGAAUGCCGCCGUGAAUACGUUCCCGGGCCUUGUACACACCGCCCGUCACACCAUGAGAGUUGGAAAUACCCGAAGCCUGUGAGCUAACUGUAAAGAGGCAGCAGUCGAAGGUAGAGCCAAUGAUUGGGGUGAAGUCGUAACAAGGUAUC